rnacentral:sRNA from 1 species
AGCUACAAUGUUUUGUCAUUAUUCACUCUGAUGUGAAAAAGGCAGUGAAUUUAAUAGAAAAUAACUUCGUAGAGUAAAAUCUCAGGUGUGUUUUUUUAGUGCCGCAGUCUUGGAUGAUGGGUUCCUAGAAGCUCUCAACAUCUCUUCUUAAUUGGAGAAAGUGUUAAGCCCCAAAGUAGCUGGAGCAGUACAUCUUCAAUUUUUGACAAGAAAGCAGGAACUUGAUUACUUUGAGUGCUAUUCAUUAGUUUCUGCUGUCAUUGAGAAUGCAACAAAAGCCAACUAGGCUGCUGCUAACUCCUUGCUGGACUUCUUCUGCCACUGUCACAGGAACUGUAAUCUCACUGGACAGUUAACUAGGGAGCCUUUCAUCUUGAGUGACUGCUGCACAAAUGAUCUUCAAAGCAUUUUAGCCACCAGAGGAAUUCUCUUCAAAUACCCAAAAUCCAUCAGUAUCUUGAAUCAUGCUGGAUUUUGAAGAAUUCUUAACAAGCCAUGUAAAGGGGGCUCUCUGGCCUUGAAAUAGUGAUGUUUUUUAUACAGAAAGGAGAAUGCAGAAUGGUCAGACUACCAUGCACUGUUAAAUUUGAUUUCAAGAAAUUACAGGAAAACUUUCCAAAGUUCCAUCUCACAGAAAUUAUUUUUACAAAGAAUUCCAAGAUAAGUUUCGUUUUAUGGAAGAUUUUUAUGUGGUUUUUACUCACUCUUCAUCUCAGACAUCAACAGAUGAUUACAUCACUUAUGUAGCUAGUAAAUUUAUUAAUAUAAAACUCAGAGACAUUCCAAUAUCCACAUUGCUUACACCAUUAGGCAUAGAUUCAGUGUCAGCUAUGACAAUUGAAAAUAAGCUGUUUUGUGAUUUAAAGGUUUAAAUUUCUCUAACCAAACUGCUUGAUCCAGAUGCAGGACUGCAAAUGUUAAUAUUUGUUCUGGAAGAACAAUCAAAUAAGACUUAAGAGGAAAAGGAAUGGCCACAAUCCACCUGAAAUUUUUUUUAAAAAAGUGUGCAGCCUACUAAAUCAGAAUGAAAAUAGAAGUACAAGAUUAUAAACAAAAUGCAAUCAAACUUUUCUUAAGCUUACCUAAAGUUAUUUUAUCUGAAAAUUUCAAGCAACUUUGUUCAACAUUAAAUUGACAAUCUAAACUAACAAGUCUUUUGAAUUUAUGCAUGGUAGUAAACAUUCUCUCUAUUAACUUUAUUACCUAAGGCUAAACCUAAAAUUUUUAAGCAAAAUUAGAAAAAUAGUCUUCACUUAUCAAAAAAUAAAGUUUGUUACAUUUAGUAUUUUCCCAAUAAAAUUGGUCAUUCUUGGUUUUUUAUUUGGAGAGUCUGUGCAAAAUGUCACUAAAAAUAAAUUAGCACUAGAAAUUAUUUCUGAAUACCAAA